GGGUGUGAUCAUACCAGCACUAAUGCACCGGAUCCCAUCAGAACUCCGCAGCUAAGCGUGCUUGGGCGACAGUAGUACUUGGAUGGGUGACCCUCUGAGAAGUCCUCGUGUUGCACCUU
rfam:Corchorus capsularis cultivar CVL-1 contig15105, whole genome shotgun sequence.